rnacentral:ribozyme from 13 species
CUGAAGGUGAGGGAGCUGUACGAGCGCAUCGCGGAGACGGAGAUCGUGGCGGCGGCGUAAACUGGCGAAGCGGCGAA